CUGAUGACUGGGGUGAAAGUCGUAACAAGGUAGCCGUACCGGAAGGUGUGGCUUGGAUCACCUCCUUU
rnacentral:rRNA from 1 species